CUUCUGCUAUGAUGAUUUAUGAAAAUAAAUUCACAUGUCAGACUUCAGAGAUUUUUCAAAAAUCUAUGAGAAGAUAAUUCAUGUCCUCUGAGCAGAAG
rnacentral:snoRNA from 1 species